GAUAUGAUGGUCUAAUGGCUAUGGCUUCUGCUUCAUGAGCAGAAGGUCAUGGGUUCAAUUCCAGGCCCAAUCC
rnacentral:tRNA from 1 species